UUGACGAUACCGAGGCUGGCUUUGGCCAGAGGGGAUAACCUGCCUACGCAGGCGGUAGUACAGCGUACUCAAACCGAUACCCCGCAAUACCUCAACAGCGUUCACUCUGGCGCACAGGUAUCGUUCA
ncrna:Photorhabdus temperata subsp. temperata M1021 EFASI RNA